rnacentral:rRNA from 1 species
ACGGAAGGCAGCAGUGAGGGAUAUUGCACAAUGGGCGAAAGCCUGAUGCAGCAACGCCGCGUGAGGGAUGACGGUUUUCGGAUUGUAAACCUCUGUCUUCGGUGAUGAUAAUGACAUUAGCCGAGGAGGAAGCCACGGCUAACUACGUGCCAGCAGCCGCGGUAAUACGUAGGUGGCAAGCGUUGUCCGGAUUUACUGGGUGUAAAGGGAGCGCAGGCGGGAAGUCAAGUCAGUGGUGAAAUGCAUGGGCUUAACCCAUGAACUGCCAUUGAAACUGAUUUUCUUGAGUGAAGUAGAGGCAAGCGGAAUUCCGAGUGUAGCGGUGAAAUGCGUAGAUAUUCGGAGGAACACCAGUGGCGAAGGCGGCUUGCUGGGCUUUUACUGACGCUGAGGCUCGAAAGUGUGGGGAGCAAACAGGAUUAGAUACCCUGGUA